AUAACAAAGCUAAAUACAUUAUAUAGAUCACAUAUUACAACACAUCUAUAACAACGGGUGUGUGUAAAUAGGUGGAUAUCAAAGCUAACUACAUUAUAUAGAUCACAUAUUACAACACAUCUAUAACAACGGGUGUGUGUAAAUAGGUGGAUAUCAAAGCUAACUACAUUAUAUAGAUCACAUAUUACAACACAUCUAUAACAACGGGUGUGUGUAAAUAGGUGGAUAACAAAGCUAACUACAUUAUAUAGAUCACAUAUUAACACGAAAAUGAAGUGUAAACACUGAUACUACCACAAUAUGUGUACUGUGAAUUUAAUAAAGAUAAUAACACCAUAGAAAACAUGUAGCUCACAUCAUUACAUACACGUUUUGUUAGCAUAGCGUAGACUAGACUGACGCUUUACCACAUUGUCAUUCACUGUGCAUUUUGACAGUAACACCACACAGAAAGCAUGCACGGUGAGUUUAGAAGAUAUUUAACACCACACACAAUUCACCUGCACUGGUUAGUGUGGACUGAUAGUAGAAAUCAUUCUGCAAAAUGGCAACUUACCUUGAUAAGUGUUUAUCAAACCUAUAGCUGUAGUUGUGUUUUACAUUAGACAUGUUAAAUGACUGUAACGCGAUACUAUAUUGUAUGUGAUUGUAAUUCUGGACUUAUUGUCACAGUGUGAUGUCACGGAAAUUACCGAGCUAGGUGAAAUAGGUUUGCUAACAAUCCCGUCAAUACGAAGGAAAUGACAACUAAUUUCGGAUCACUGUAUCGCUGCAGUUCGUUCAGUCAGCGACAGAUAAACAGAAAUGAAACUUUGCAAAAAUAAACUUUACAUUUUAACAAAGCUUUUUUUUUUUUUUUCUACCGAUGUCAUGGUAAAACUAGUCUACAGUAAUUGGUGAAUAAAUAAAUGUUUUUUCCAAUUAA